AGUGCGAUACAAGAGAGCACACAUACAAACACAAGCGACGGCGCGACGGCAGUGGCACACCACCAGGUGGCGUGAGAAUCUCAGAGAUGACCGAUUCCGAUUCCAAUAGCAAAUGAGGCUGCUUCGUUCGAGCAGACAAGUGAACGUUGCAGAACCGUUGCCCUGGAAACGUCGCGGAAUCUCCGCGGAGCAGACGACCGCGCGUAGGACACGAUGGAGCAUCUUUGGCUGCGGUGUCUUGCUCACAUCGGAGCGAGCACGCCCCCCCCCCAUCCCACUGUUAUUAUAUACGCGAGAAUUGUACAGUAUAAGAUUUGUUAGCCGCGCGAAAAAGUCGCGAGUAUUUAUUUGCCCUGCAUUGAGUCCUGCACGCUGCACGCAGUCAGCCAAUCAUCCACACAUCACGCAGCUCAACCAGACAUGAAGCCCACCGAAAGAAAUCGCUUUCUCACGGUUGCCUCGAGCAACAGUCCAGGAGGCUUAGCAUCCCACGAUCCAUAGGCUUAGCAUACCAGAUGUGAAUCUCACGUGUUGCCGGCACGAUCACCCGAGUCCUAUCUCAUCUCAUCACGUGCAUUCUCACCACGCCUUCCCUGGAUCGUUCAUCAUCAUCUUCUUCAUCAAUGCUGCGAGCACACAACAUGUACCUUGUAUCACACCACGUCUUUAGCAGUUCCGUUCGAGUGUUGCCCAGUGGAUAGACAUUAGGGGCGUCACGCGCACGCGCGUUGUUUAUACACUAGCCUGAGUGCGAGCCGUAUCGAGAGCAACAGGGUUGUCAUAUGGUUUUAUAUAAUUUUAGCGACAUGUACAGACUGUCUACCAGGCACAGCCGGCCGACCGACCCGACAGAGAGCAGUGUAGUUAGCAGACAAAACCGCACCACCACACCCUGGAUUUCUGUUACCGAGUCUUCCAACUCCCCUGCCCUUUCCCUGUCCACCCCCUCAUCUCCUCCGACAUUCCCACAGAAGAAGUUCCGUGCUCUUGGUCGGUGCAGCUUUCGUGGGCCGAAGUAAUGAUCGGUUAGUCGUGCCUGGUUCGAUUACCUCGUUGAUUGUGUGUUUACUGUAAGAUACUGGUUUAUUUAUUCGUAUACUUAAUAAGAGAUUGUCAGUAUUAUUAUUUUCUCACGUAGUAACUGUUGCUGUGGCAUAGGCGGGUUGUAGCGGCUGGUAUAGACAGCAACAUACCUGUAAACUUUAUAUAUAUAUAUAGUAUAUAUAUACAUAUAUAUACAUACAUAUAUAUAUACAGAUAUGUUUAUCGCUGCGCUAGUACACACAAUUGCAAAUCAAUAUAUGCACUGUAAAUUCAAUGAUGUUGUAAAGUUAUUGUGAAAAAUAUUGUUUAUAUCUGGAUUUUGUGAAGUAAAAUGAAAUAAAUGUAAAUUAUGUCACCACAAUAA